CUCCCCCACACCCCCGCCCCCUGCCCUUCCCGAGGGCAGCAGCCGCGGCCCGGAGAUAAGCGCUAGCGCGGCGCAGGGCUCUCUGCCUGGGCUAGUGGCACCGACUUGGGAAAAGAAAACGCAGAGACCUGGAACACCGGUGCUUUUCCUGUUGAAGAUCAGAAGAUCAGCCUGGCUAAAGCAAUGGAGAAGACCCGCCGCCUGCGACGGUCUACACAUUUGAAAGGCAGUAACUUCCCUCUUGCCAAGGAAAGGCGGCCGAAGGAUAGGAGAAACUACAGGGGGCGAGACAAGUUUCCUCAACGCAGAUCUGUGACUGACGACCAUUCCUGAGCUCAGAGUCUCCGCACGCGCCGCAAACAGUCGACAGGGAGAGCGGCCCACGCGGCAGCCGCCGCGCCCAUGGCCUCUACUUGCUUUUGCCCUGCUGCUCGGUGCAGCGGUUUGUUUGGAGCUUCCCGAAGAAAGAAACACACCCCGUUGACACCCCCCACCCCCACGCACACUCAUCUUUGGUCUCAGCAACCGCCCCUCCUGCACAAGGCCGGCCGGCUUUCAGCUUUCGGGGAAGAUUCUUUGUCUUCCCGAAGCCCCGCAUCCGCAAGGAGUGCAGCUGAAGGGAACCCAGCUCCAAAAUGCCUCCGAAGUUAAAUAUUGACCAGAACCUCUUUCAGAGGGCUGCAGCUCCCUGGAAGAGUAAACUCCUUCCAAAGGCCCUAGCAAAGCCCAGCGGAGUGAAGAGUUAGCACAGCGCUUACCUCCAAAGAUGUUUAAGACUGAUCCAGUGAUUGUCUCCAACUCCUGGCACUCAGGGAGUCGCCUUUUCCGGUGUCCUGGCGCUCUGCGGACAAAUAAACAGCAAAGGGUAAAUGGUGGCUGCGAAGGAAGCGAGUUGGAGAACCGGAGUUGGAAGUGCGGCCCGCGCGGGCGCCAGGGUGGCCCCCCGGCUGACGCGGACACGGAGGAGUCGCCAGGGCACUGGUCCAUGAGGCGCACUCGUUGCUCGAAAGGGUCCAGUCUAAGGAUGGCUCGAAGAUGGUGAUUUAUUUUUGUAAAAUAAAUACAUACUCCCAUCUCCGCA